UACAGAGGGUGCGAGCGUUGUCCGGAAUCAGCUAGGGCGUAAAGGCGCGUAGGCGGCCUGAUGAAGUAGGGGGUGAAAUCCUGUGGCUUAACUGCAGGGCUGCCUCCUAGACUGUUAGGCUCGAGCACGGUAGAGGCAGAUGGAAUUCCCGGUGUAGCAGUGAAAUGCGUAGAGAUCGGGAGGAACACCAGUGGCGAAGGCGGCUACCUGG
rnacentral:rRNA from 1 species